AUUGUUUUGGCAGAUAAUUGCGGUAGAUUUAGGAUCUAUUUAUGAGUUUUUCAAACAAUA
rnacentral:tRNA from 1 species